AAGGGAACCAGGGAGCCAGAGCAGCAGCUGGAGCCACAACAAGGCGAGAGAAUGAAAAUGGAGGGGCAACUGUACUUCCAAAUUUCCAAACAUUCAGCCAAAGUGGCAUCUGCAAUGGGAGAAGAAGGAGACAGAAACGGUCAGAUUCCUGAAGAUGGAACAAAAACAGCCUGGUGAGCAGAAUUGUUAGGAUGAAGAAGACCCUGCAUUAGAAGUGAGCAAGAUCACUUGGAACACACAAUGCAUCUGGAUGCAUUCCAAAGAUCCUCAAAUUACAGUGAAAAUUCUGCUUCUGAGAUUUAGAUCAAAAACAAGGGUUUUCUUUAUUGUUGUUGGUUUUCCCUUUAUUUAACUGCAUGUUUAAACACUUAAAAGUGCACACCUACUUUCUGAUCCACUGGCUGGUUGAUGUUAAGCUGGGUGCAGAAGUGCCCUUCUGCAGGUACAAAGGAGUUCCAUUUGCAAAAAAAACCCCACACCUGCCCUGGCACAAUGCACAAAGCCAGUCACAGGGCCUUAAACGGGGCAUUGCAGGGGCCAGCCUUGAAUCUACUGGAUUCAAAACCCCUUAAUCUUCCCUCUCACAAGAUUAGCACUAUUAUCUUCACCUGCCUGGAGUUAGCAUGGGUAAUAUAUACUGAAACUGGAAAGAGCAGAAGACUUCAGUCUCAGCAGUACCAUCAAUUCUGCAUCAAUAAUAAUAAUAUCAAUAUUGAUUCUAUGAAUAAUAAUAUCAUUAUUGCUGCCCCUGCAAUUACUGUUUCUUUUCCUUUUCCUGGUCCAGAACUCAGGGCAGCUUGCAAAAA